rfam:Marine metagenome 1095366033942, whole genome shotgun sequence.
ACUCGACUAAGCGAGUAUAAAUAGGCAUUAGGCUUAGAGCGUUCCAAUGUUGUGAAACAUCGGAGGUUGUU